rnacentral:lncRNA from 1 species
UGCCGGAAGGUUACUGCUCUACACCGGGCUUUCGCUAGCGCUCUGCGCCCUCGGCAUGCUGGCGGUGGCCAUCUGCUCCGACCACUGGUACGAGACUGACGCCAGGAAGCACAGGGACAGGUGCAAGGCCUUCAACACGCGCCGGGUCGACCCCGGCUUCAUUUACAACAACAACAACAACUUGCCUCUGCGCGCGAGCCGCUCGCGCCUGGACCGCUGGGAGGGCAAACUCCUCCGGGCCCGGAAUCGCCGGCAGCUGUUCGCCAUGAGCCCGGCGGACGAGUGCAGCCGGCAGUACAACUCCACCAACAUGGGCCUCUGGAGGAAGUGCCACCGGCAGGGCUUCGACCCGGAGAUCGCUGCCCUCAUCCGGAAAGAUUGGGCUAAGAUUUGAGCCCCUCCUCCAAGCAGAGAUAGGUGGUACUGGAUGUGCGUUCAUGUCAACACUACUGGACUCUGCACUUAGAAACGAUUAGAACGAUGAAGUGUGUGUCGCAUGUUUUCUUCUCUGCCUACGAUAAGCGAUUUCAAAGAGGAAAGGAAAGGCUUGUCUUGGCUUCUGGUUUUGGAGGUUCUGACCCAACAGUUCUGGCACUGUUGUUUUGGGGUCUAUGGUGAGGACGUACAUUAAGGUUGGAGUGUUUGGAAGAGGAUGGUGCUUUCCUCACAGUAGCCAGGAAACCAAGGCAAAGGAAAGAAGGAGAUGGUCAGGUCCUACUAUCUCUUUUGAGGACACACCCCCAAACAACCGAACCUUCAGUAGCUCCCGUGUCCUGAAGGUUCUACUAUUUCCCUGUAGUGCCCUCGGCUGGGAUCAACCUUCAACACUGGGGCCUUUGGGGACAUUCAUCUCUCAACUGAAGCAAAUAGAGAAAGACAUGCAAACAUUUAGAAAAGGAGCUGUUUGAUUCACUUCAUUAUAUAGAAUAUUUCAUAGCAAAGGCCCGUCAUCCAUUCAGAAUAUUUAUUAAGCACCUACUAUGGACCAGGCAGCAGGUCAAGUAUGCUUAACACAUAUCAUAGAUGCCAAUUAAAUGGAUAAAAUUCAUAUCUGUGUAAAGUUCAUGUUUAACUGUUUUUGAGUAUAUAUUUCCUUUUUCUAAGUAAAACAGAUUUUUGGUGGGUUCUUACUUCUUCCCCCAUCCCUUGGGAGAUCAAUCCCAAGGCCUUGAACAUGCUAGACAAGUGUUCCGCUACUGAGUUAUUCCAUCAGCUCUAAAUAUCAAUAUAUAAAACAAGUGGAAGUAAUGAAUACAUUGCUUGGGUCAUUUAAGAAAUCACUGAAUGAGGAAAAUUUCAUGUACUUGUUCAAAAAGGAUUAUUGAGCAGUGACUAUGCUAGGUACAUUAUCUGGGGUGGAGGCUCUAGAGCAAAAUCCAAUACUUACUCAUUCCUUUCUUCAAGAAGUGAAAGAUGAGAAGGCAUAGGCGUGGAUUGAUGAGGGAUUAAUGAUUGGCUCUGUGAGGGAUUUCGGGUGCUGGGGCCCCAGUGCCACUUUAGAGCAGCAAGACCGGGCUUUAUAGUAAAGCAGAUAUGAUAUCCUAAGACAUUUUUAGAAAGGUGUCUGGGGAUGAUAGGGGGAAGUUUUAGCUUCAUUUAAAAAUGAUUAAUUCUGACUAGGCAAAUGCAUGUCCGUCUUCAACUGUUCCCUUUGCUCCUCAGACUCCCUGCUCUUCUGGGAGGCAGCCUUGCUUAGUAGUUUCCACCAAUCAUGUCAGAGUCUUUGUGUUCUAAUAGUUAAAGACAAUAUUAUUGAUACAGAUAAGCCAGACAGUGAACUGGUGAUUCAAAGACAAGAAUGUUUCUCUUUUAUAAAUUUGUGUGCUUAGAGAUGGUGAGUAAAGGACCCUCCCAGGAGUCACUAGGAGUUGUCUGAAGGUGGAGUUAGGGUACAAGCUGAUGUCGCCUUCACGGGAGCUUGACAGGUUGGCUGCUUUUAUGGGAAACUACAGUAUCUGAAUUAUAUUUGAUUGAUUUUUUUUCUGGCGCCAAAGUAUUUUGCCAAGAAAAGGCAAUUUGCUUUAUAUUAGGUCAUCCUCCUGCGUUCCUCUCAUUCCCUGCUUUUUAGAAUGCCCGGCUCGUUCAUAUUCAGGGCCUCACUCUAGGACUCUUCAUUUGCUCUAGAGCAUCUCAUUCAGUUUUGCCCCAAGCUUCCUGUCAAUUUAUGAUAGUGAUUCUAUUUAGGCAAUUUGAACCCUUUUCCCCAAGGUGUCGGGUAUUUCCCAGGCCUGGGUGGAGCAGGGUUGGUUUUGCCCGAAAGAGGCUCUGGGCUGAUGUGCUGGUGAUGUGCACUAACUGUCUCAACACUGGAAAGAGGAGACCGUUACAAGGUUGGAGACAGGCACAUAUCUAUGUACCUGUGAGUACGCGAAACCACCAGGAAUGCCCAUGGCAUUUCUGUUUGUAAUAGCAAAAUAAAAAGAUUGUACAAAAGUGAAAAACCUAAUUGUCUACUAAUAGGGAAUGGAUAGUAAAUUGUAGUAUAUUUAUACAAUGGAAACUAACACAGUAUAUGUAACAUAUACAUACCCACUUCUGGGCAUAUAUACCUCAAAGGCCCUGAGCCAACAUAUCACACAAAUACCUGCAUAUUCAUGCUUAUUACUGGCUAUGUCCACAAUAGCCAGUUUAAAGACCUGGCCUCAGUGUCUGCCGGCAGAUAAAUGGAUAAAGAAAAUGUGGAAUAUAUGCACAAUGGAGAUUAAUUCAGCUAUAAAGAGGAGUAAAUUUAUGCCAUUUGUUGGGAAAUGGAUUCAGCUGAAGUUCAUCGCAUGAAGUGAACUAGGUCAGAUACAAAAAGACAAAACUUCACAUUUUCUUUUAGUUUUGACUUGUAGAAUUCUUUGUUGACACAUAUGACAUGGAAGCUGAAGACAGACUAUGGGAAAGAGGAGGGGGCCAAAAAGAGCGAGUCAGAGAAGGUGAGUGAGGUCAAAAUACAUGAUAUACUUGAAAGAAAUUAUCUACAUGAAAACCAGCACCGUGUGCAAUGACUAUCCACCAACUGAAAUAUUAAAAAUGCCAUCCAUGCUUCCAAAUGAAUAAACAUGGAUUUGAGUGAAGUCAGCAUUGUGAAACAUGGUUUGGAGAGUAGGAUGGCAUUUAUAUGAAGUUCAAAACCAAAUGAAGGGGAGCUAGGGACACAGCUCAGGGGUAGAGCUCUUGCCUAGCAAGUACAAGGCUCCAGCUCAAGUCCUCAUACUGCAGAAAACAGCCCAAACAAUUUUAGCUGUUGUUUACAGAAGCACACUGACAUUGUAUGUGUGAAAAUAUGCAUUGGGAUAAUUAGCAUAAAACACAGCACAG